GUUCACAUGUGUUAUUUGCAUAGGUUGAGUUAAAAUGCUCAAAGAGUUGAAAGUAGUUGUUUCUGAGAAGUAUGGGAAUAGGGUAUGCCACUGAAUUUUUUUUUCUAUAAACCUGAUAGCACUGUUUGAUUUUUUUAGAUCAUGUACAUGUAUACUUUUGAUAAAAAUGAGAGUUAAUUUAAAAACACAUAUAUAGGGUCAUAUGCAUUCACAGAUGGGUUGACUAGCCCAUUACCGGCCAUUCCUGGCCAUGUAUGAAAUUUGGAUGAAGCACUUUUAAUAAUAUUAGAGUAUUAUCAUUUUAAAACUUAUUUCAUGUGUAUUGCUCUAAAGGAAGCCAGCUUCCAUGUUGUGAGAAAGCUCGCACAGCCCUAUGGAGAGUCCACAUGGUGGGUGGUCCCAUAGCCAAUAUUAAUUUGCAAACCAUAAGUACAUAAUCUUAGAACUGGAUUCCUCAGGGCCAGUGGAGCCUUAAGAUGAACGCUGCCAUGGGCAACAGCUCAAUAGCUCAUGCGAGGCUCGGAGCCAGAACCACCCAGGUAAGCUGUGUCUGAAUUCCUGACCCACAGAAACUGUGUAAGCUAAUAAAUGUUUGUUGCUGUUUUCAGCAGCUAAGGUUUGGGGUAAAUUGUUAUGCAGUAACAGAUAAAUUGUAUAGAUUUUGAAGGAAACUGAGGCUCAGAGAGAUGUAAAGACUUACCCAAAGUGUCAUGUCUGGGAAAUAAACGGUGGAGCUAAAAACUGAACCACAUUUUCUCACUGUAGAGUCAGUGCUCUUUUCAUUGACAACACUAAAAGUGGUCUCCUGGCCCAAAGGACAGUGUGAUGACCUCUUAGCAUUUACAUUUCAGCAGGUCAAUUUUGAUAUAGUUAACUACAUUCUAAUAGUUUUUGAGUGCAACCCAUGGACUUAGGAAUUAUGACAUCCAAAUCAGAUUUCCUUUGUCAAAGUGCAUGCAGCAUAAAGCUCUCCAUUCAUUUAUGUGCUGCUGUCUAAGAUUGCCAUCCCUGAGUAAGGCAUUAUUGUGAUAGUCAAAUCUAAAAGAAGUUAAGUAUCUUACACAUGUAUGAAGUUCUGACUGGCCCACACACUGAGUCAUUUCUUUUCUAUAAUAUUGUCUUUCUUAUUUAUCACUUGGGUUCUACUUUUGAAUGAAAAGUAACCUUAAAAAUAGCAUUCACACUGUAACAUUGUAAAGAACUUAUAAUAACUCAUUUUUUUCCAUCAGUACAUUGAAAAUAGAAAUGACUGUUAACUUCUUGCUGCCUUCAUAGCAUAUCUGAUUUAAUUCAAAACAGGACUAAUGUCUGUGAAAUAGCCAACAUAGAAACCAGCUGGGAACCUAACUGGCAUCACAAGUUCCACUCAGAUUAACAUUUCAAAAAUGACACCAUAUGGUGGAGAGCUUUGGGUUUUAUGACAAAGAAACAGAACGAAUGCUGGACAUCGCAAACCCGCCUAGACUGUGUUGUCGUGCACUGGAGUGAAAGGUGUGUACGCUGGAACGACACAACCGUCACCUGCUUCCUUAGCUCCAGGAGCAAGCUGUUUCUCCACAGUAUUUUAGCAGAUAUCUUUGUCAUUUUAUGGAGAGCUAGAUGCCUUCUGAUUUCAAUGUGU
rnacentral:lncRNA from 1 species